rnacentral:rRNA from 1 species
GGGUUGUGAGGUUAAGCGACUAAGCGUACACGGUGGAUGCCCUGGCAGUCAGAGGCGAUGAAGGACGUGCUAAUCUGCGAUAAGCGUCGGUGAGGUGAUAUGAACCGUUAUAACCGGCGAUUUCCGAAUGGGGAAACCCAGUGUGUUUCGACACACUAUCAUUAACUGAAUCCAUAGGUUAAUGAGGCGAACCGGGGGAACUGAAACAUCUAAGUACCCCGAGGAAAAGAAAUCAACCGAGAUUCCCCCAGUAGCGGCGAGCGAACGGGGAGGAGCCCAGAGCCUGAAUCAGUGUGUGUGUUAGUGGAAGCGUCUGGAAAGGCGCGCGAUACAGGGUGACAGCCCCGUACACAAAAUGCACAUACUGUGAGCUCGAUGAGUAGGGCGGGACACGUGGUAUCCUGUCUGAAUAUGGGGGGACCAUCCUCCAAGGCUAAAUACUCCUGACUGACCGAUAGUGAACCAGUACCGUGAGGGAAAGGCGAAAAGAACCCCGGCGAGGGGAGUGAAAAAGAACCUGAAACCGUGUACGUACAAGCAGUGGGAGCCUCUUAAUGGGGUGACUGCGUACCUUUUGUAUAAUGGGUCAGCGACUUAUAUUCUGUAGCAAGGUUAACCGAAUAGGGGAGCCGAAGGGAAACCGAGUCUUAACUGGGCGCUAAGUUGCAGGGUAUAGACCCGAAACCCGGUGAUCUAGCCAUGGGCAGGUUGAAGGUUGGGUAACACUAACUGGAGGACCGAACCGACUAAUGUUGAAAAAUUAGCGGAUGACUUGUGGCUGGGGGUGAAAGGCCAAUCAAACCGGGAGAUAGCUGGUUCUCCCCGAAAGCUAUUUAGGUAGCGCCUCGUGAAUUCAUCUCCGGGGGUAGAGCACUGUUUCGGCAAGGGGGUCAUCCCGACUUACCAACCCGAUGCAAACUGCGAAUACCGGAGAAUGUUAUCACGGGAGACACACGGCGGGUGCUAACGUCCGUCGUGAAGAGGGAAACAACCCAGACCGCCAGCUAAGGUCCCAAAGUCAUGGUUAAGUGGGAAACGAUGUGGGAAGGCCCAGACAGCCAGGAUGUUGGCUUAGAAGCAGCCAUCAUUUAAAGAAAGCGUAAUAGCUCACUGGUCGAGUCGGCCUGCGCGGAAGAUGUAACGGGGCUAAACCAUGCACCGAAGCUGCGGCAGCGACACUAUGUGUUGUUGGGUAGGGGAGCGUUCUGUAAGCCUGUGAAGGUGGCCUGUGAGGGUUGCUGGAGGUAUCAGAAGUGCGAAUGCUGACAUAAGUAACGAUAAAGCGGGUGAAAAGCCCGCUCGCCGGAAGACCAAGGGUUCCUGUCCAACGUUAAUCGGGGCAGGGUGAGUCGACCCCUAAGGCGAGGCCGAAAGGCGUAGUCGAUGGGAAACAGGUUAAUAUUCCUGUACUUGGUGUUACUGCGAAGGGGGACGGAGAAGGCUAUGUUGGCCGGGCGACGGUUGUCCCGGUUUAAGCGUGUAGGCUGGUUUUCCAGGCAAAUCCGGAAAACCAAGGCUGAGGCGUGAUGACGAGGCACUACGGUGCUGAAGCGACAAAUGCCCUGCUUCCAGGAAAAGCCUCUAAGCAUCAGGUAACAUCAAAUCGUACCCCAAACCGACACAGGUGGUCAGGUAGAGAAUACCAAGGCGCUUGAGAGAACUCGGGUGAAGGAACUAGGCAAAAUGGUGCCGUAACUUCGGGAGAAGGCACGCUGAUAUGUAGGUGAAGCGACUUGCUCGUGGAGCUGAAAUCAGUCGAAGAUACCAGCUGGCUGCAACUGUUUAUUAAAAACACAGCACUGUGCAAACACGAAAGUGGACGUAUACGGUGUGACGCCUGCCCGGUGCCGGAAGGUUAAUUGAUGGGGUUAGCGGUAACGCGAAGCUCUUGAUCGAAGCCCCGGUAAACGGCGGCCGUAACUAUAACGGUCCUAAGGUAGCGAAAUUCCUUGUCGGGUAAGUUCCGACCUGCACGAAUGGCGUAAUGAUGGCCAGGCUGUCUCCACCCGAGACUCAGUGAAAUUGAACUCGCUGUGAAGAUGCAGUGUACCCGCGGCAAGACGGAAAGACCCCGUGAACCUUUACUAUAGCUUGACACUGAACAUUGAGCCUUGAUGUGUAGGAUAGGUGGGAGGCUUUGAAGUGUGGACGCCAGUCUGCAUGGAGCCGACCUUGAAAUACCACCCUUUAAUGUUUGAUGUUCUAACGUUGGCCCGUAAUCCGGGUUGCGGACAGUGUCUGGUGGGUAGUUUGACUGGGGCGGUCUCCUCCUAAAGAGUAACGGAGGAGCACGAAGGUUGGCUAAUCCUGGUCGGACAUCAGGAGGUUAGUGCAAUGGCAUAAGCCAGCUUGACUGCGAGCGUGACGGCGCGAGCAGGUGCGAAAGCAGGUCAUAGUGAUCCGGUGGUUCUGAAUGGAAGGGCCAUCGCUCAACGGAUAAAAGGUACUCCGGGGAUAACAGGCUGAUACCGCCCAAGAGUUCAUAUCGACGGCGGUGUUUGGCACCUCGAUGUCGGCUCAUCACAUCCUGGGGCUGAAGUAGGUCCCAAGGGUAUGGCUGUUCGCCAUUUAAAGUGGUACGCGAGCUGGGUUUAGAACGUCGUGAGACAGUUCGGUCCCUAUCUGCCGUGGGCGCUGGAGAACUGAGGGGGCUGCUCCUAGUACGAGAGGACCGGAGUGGACGCAUCACUGGUGUUCGGGUUGUCAUGCCAAUGGCACUGCCCGGUAGCUAAAUGCGGAAGAGAUAAGUGCUGAAAGCAUCUAAGCACGAAACUUGCCCCGAGAUGAGUUCUCCCUGAGACUUAGAGUCUCCUGAAGGAACGUUGAAGACGACGACGUUGAUAGGCCGGGUGUGUAAGCGCAGCGAUGCGUUGAGCUAACCGGUACUAAUGAACCGUGAGGCUUAACCUUACAACGCCGAAG